GCCAGCGUAGCUCAGUGGUAGAGCAGCGGUUUCGUAAACCGCAGGUCGUGGGUUCGAAUCCCACCGCUGGCUCCA
rnacentral:tRNA from 1 species